rnacentral:piRNA from 1 species
UCCAUGACUCUCAGGUUCUCUCUUCCCU